rnacentral:rRNA from 1 species
UACGAAGGGGGCUAGCGUUGCUCGGAAUGACUGGGCGUAAAGGGCGCGUAGGCGGAUGGCACAGUCAGAUGUGAAAUUCCCGGGCUUAACCUGGGGGCUGCAUUUGAUACGUGUUGUCUAGAGUGAGGAAGAGGGUUGUGGAAUUCCCGGUGUAGCGGUGAAAUGCGCAGAUAUCGGGAAGAACACCCGUGGCGAAGGCGGCACUCUGGGACGUGACUGACGCUGAGACGCGAAAGCGUGGGGAGCAAACAGG